GAGGUUGUGGCUCAGUGGUAGAGUGCUCGCCUAGCAUGUGUGAGGCCCUAGGUUCGAUCCUCAGCACCACA
rnacentral:tRNA from 1 species